CGCGUUGCAAGAAAGCUGUUAGUUGUUUCCUGAGGGUCACUCAGCAAGCAAACUGUGGUGCUCACGUUGCAACCCAAGGCUGGGGACUCCAAGGGUAAUACGUGUAUCUGUUUCUGCCACAAGCAGUGUCCUUGGAAGUCUUACAACUCCACAGACCACGUACUUCCUGGGCCAAAGAGCACUCCUAGUCUUUGGGGGGAUAGAAACUGAGAGAAGCAAAGAGAGACCUCCACCAUUCCAAGGUGGGU
rnacentral:lncRNA from 10 species